rnacentral:rRNA from 1 species
GACGAACGCUGGCGACGUGCUUAACACAUGCAAGUCGAACGGAAAGGCCCUGCUUUUGUGGGGUGCUCGAGUGGCGAACGGGUGAGUAACACGUGAGUAACCUGCCCUUGACUUUGGGAUAACUUCAGGAAACUGGGGCUAAUACCGGAUAGGAGCUCCUGCUGCAUGGUGUGGGUUGGAAAGUUUCGGCGGUUGGGGAUGGACUCGCGGGUUAUCAGCUUGUUGGUGGGGUAGUGGCUUACCAAGGCUUUGACGGGUAGCCGGCCUGAGAGGGUGACCGGCCACAUUGGGACUGAGAUACGGCCCAGACUCCUACGGGAGGCAGCAGUGGGGAAUAUUGCACAAUGGGCGGAAGCCUGAUGCAGCAACGCCGCGUGCGGGAUGACGGCCUUCGGGUUGUAAACCGCUUUCGCCUGUGGCGAAGCGUGAGUGACGGUAAUGGGUAAAGAAGCACCGGCUAACUACGUG